UCGAGUCAAGGACACACGCUUCGGUUUAUUCAUAGCUCCAACGUUUUUCCCCCAUUAGCCUAGCCCAGAACGCUUUCAAUCCCAGGAUGCAACAUCUCCGCGUGUUUUGUCACCAGCGCACAACACAUCUCCGAAUCUCCGGGUUUUCGUAAGAUUACCGUAAGCUUCUGUCAUUUGAAAAAGGGGAAGAACAACUGAAAUUCUUCAGCUUUGACAAUGUUUCAAUUCAUAUACUAUGCAGCUUUUCUAAUCUGUGAAGGCCCAGCUUACAACUGAUAAGUGACUGACUCAUGACUGUAAAUCCUCAAGCCUGAAUGUCGGGUCAACUAGUGGCCCAUCUUGGUAAAGAGAGCGAAGGUGUCAUAGGGGUUGCUCACUCUAAUACAAGAUGAGGAACACCUCACUCAUUGGUGAUGGAGAUUCAAAAUCAUUCCCACUGUAUUAGUCCUCAACCCCUAUGAUUUCAUACUCACAAGGAGGUGGUGUGUGUCAACCAUGUGGCAAAAAAUCUCACCUCUGUACUUUGCGAAAUCUGGGAGCCAUCGAGAAAAAGAGAGGUGUAGCGCUUGGAGAGAGAGAUUUUGGUGCACUGACUCAGGAGAAGAUUGGAUGUCUCCAGUCCUAUUACACAAAACCUCUGAGGUUGUUCAACUCUUUCCACUGCUAAUGUAAGAAGCAGUUGUGGCCACGUUGCUGCACAGCACCGGCACAGAUGGAGACCACAUCAUGACAGAUGCCCACCUACUGGUGAAAACAACUGGUGCUUUUACAGUACAUGUAUAA